GUAGUCUACGCCGUAAACGAUGGAUACUAGCAUUCGGAGGUGUCGACCCCUUCGGUAGCGAAGCUAACGCGUUAAGUAUCCCGCCUGUGUAGUACGAGCGCAAGCUUAAAACAUAAAGGAAUUGACGGGGACCCGCACAAGCGGUGGAGCGUGUUCUUUAAUUCGAGGCUAAGCGAAGAACCUUACCAGGGCUUGAAAUCCUGCGAAAGUUUGCGAAAGCAGACCGUGCCUUCGGGAACGCAGUGACAGGUGCUGCAUGGCCGUCGUCAGCUCGUGUCGUGAGAUGUUGGGUUAAGUCCCGCAACGAGCGCAACCCCUAUGUUUAGUUGUAUUUUUCUAGGCAAACUGCCUCGGUAACGGGGA
rnacentral:rRNA from 1 species